AUUAAAUGAACUUUAGACUAAGAGCGCCACGUCCUGUGGCAACGUCUAAGUGACCAACAUCCUGCUCC
rnacentral:sRNA from 1 species